AUCAGCUCCGCGCCGACAGGCCCCGCCCACUCCAGCACUAGUGUGACUGACGGUGCGGCUCCAGCUGCUCGCUCUGUUUACGGUCCGCCUGUCCCGUAUGUGCGUGAUUCACCUGCUCAAACGCUCCUGAAGAUCCGCUGGAGUUUAACACGGGCCGGGCUGGAAGUGUUUUAUUCCCGUCUGGAUGAGUCAGUGUGUCUGUUCUGGACAUUUAAUCUGUAGCAAUUCCGCAUGAUCACUGCUGGAAUGACACACACAGCUCCUUAACGAGCAGCCACACUCUCCAUGAACAGGAACUGGUGAGACAGGUGCAGAAGAUCUUCAUGAUGGAUGAAAGUGCUGUGAAUGAGUCUAAUGUGAAAGUGGCGGUCCGGGUGCGACCCAUGAACAGGAGAGAACGAGACUUAAAAACAAAAUGUGUUGUGGACAUGGAAGGAAAUCAGACCAUCCUGUACCCGGCCAAUGGAAACCUGGGAAAGGGCGAC